rnacentral:rRNA from 1 species
GACGAACGUUGGCGGUGCGCUUAAUGCAUGCAAGUCGAGGGAGAAGCAAUCGUUCCGUAAGGUUCGGCUGUGGAAACCGGCGAACGGGUGCGUAACACGUGAGAAACCUGCCCCCCAGAUCGGGAUAGCCCAGGGAAACUUGGAUUAAUACCGAAUAUUCUCUUUGGAUCGCAUGAUCCGUUGAGGAAAUGGUCCGCUGCUGGGGAAUGGUCUCGCGGCCUAUCAGCUUGUUGGUGAGGUAACGGCUCACCAAGGCUAAGACGGGUAGCUGGUCUGAGAGGACGAUCAGCCACACUGGAACUGAGACACGGUCCAGACUCCUACGGGAGGCAGCAGCAGGGAGUAUUGCACAAUGGGCGAAAGCCUGAUGCAGCGACACCGCGUGCGGGAUGAAUGCCUUAGGGUUGUAAACCGCUUUCGGGAGGGAAGAAAAUGACGGUACCUCCUAAAGAAGCUCCGGCCAACUACGUGCCAGCAGCCGCGGUAAUACGUAGGGAGCAAACGUUGUCCGGAUUUAUUGGGCGUAAAGGGCUCGUAGGCGGUUCAACAAGUCGGUCGUGAAAACUCGGGGCUCAACCCCGAGACGCCGGUCGAAACUGUUGUGACUAGAGUUCGGUAGAGGUGAGUGGAAUUCUCGGUGUGGCGGUGGAGUGCGCAGAUAUCGAGAGGAACACCAUUAGCGAAGGCGGCUCACUGGGCCGAUACUGACGCUGAGGAGCGAAAGCGUGGGGAGCAAACAGGAUUAGAUACCCUGGUAGUCCACGCCGUAAACGAUGAACACUAGGUGUGGCGGACUGAUUCACGUCUGCUGUGCCGCAGCUAACGCAUUAAGUGUUCCGCCUGGGGAGUACGGCCGCGAAGGCUAAAACUCAAAGGAAUUGACG